rnacentral:miRNA from 1 species
GCAGACACAUUCCAGCCAAUCAGCAGCAGACCCUCCCUCCCAGACCUUCCCACCUCCUGGACAGCAUCCAUUGUGAAGCUGCAUUUUUAGUGAGCUGUCCAGGAGGUGGGAGGGUCUGGGAGGGAGGGUCUGCUGCUGAUUGGCUGGAAUGUGUCUG